rnacentral:rRNA from 1 species
GAUUUCUGGCAAACCGGGGCGGCCCGUGCUCUUAAUGGGUGCUGUGUGCCGUGUCGUGUUUGUCAUCCUUCCAGAGAGCUGCGUCUACCGUUUACUCGGCCGGACGUAUGCGAUCUGGAUCUAUUACUUUGAAAAAAUUAGAGUGUUUAAAGCAGGCUUAUGCUAUGAAUACAUUAGCAUGGAAUAAUAAUUUAGGACUUUGGUUCUAUUUUGUUGGUUUCUAGGACUGAAGUAAUGAUUGAUAGGGAUAGUUGGGGGUGCUAGUAUUCCGCGGCCAGAGGUGAAAUUCUUGGAUUCGUGGAAGACUAACUACUGCGAAAGCAUU